ensembl:lncRNA
UUUAACCCCGAGAUGAUUUUCUGGGCUACACUUAGUAACUACAAACACAGCAGCCCAAAGCCCGUCAUAACUGCCGCCACAGAGAAGAACUGCAGUUGCUGGGAAAAAAGACCAGAAAUAUACCAUCCAGGUGCCAGUGGUGAAUUCACAUGCCAGAGAGUAAGAAGACAUCUUAUUUUAAAUAUGAAGAUGAUUUUGAUCUACAUCAUCAUCGCAACUCCAGCAAUGACCGCUGUGCCACAAGGGUCUUCAGAAUGCAAUCUAACUGAACCUGGACCCCAGACGUGUUUUGGAGUUUUAGGAGAACCACUCGUUUUUUACAUACCUACUAAACCACAUAUGAAGACAAGCUUGAAAAAGAGUACAGAAAAAAUUUUAACCUUAAUAAAUGAUACAUUAAUUAGUCUCAAUGAAAAAUACAAGAAUCGUACUAUAUUUUUCCCAAAUGGAACAUUGAAACUCGAAAAAGCAACAAAAAAUGACUCUGGAGAGUACAGCAUGGAAACACACAGUUCUACUGACGGUGUGUUAUUGCACACAGUUAACAUCCAUCUACAUAUACUCGCUCCUGUGUCAGAACCAGCUGUUAUGCAGAUGUGUUUGUCACCAAAACAGAUGACAGUCAGCUGUUUCUCUGAAGGAGAUGAAGUAGAGCUCAUUUUGUCUUUGGAUGAUAAGUUGUUGAUACAGACUACAGCCAACAGUACAGAAAACAACAGCGUUUCAAAUGUUACCAUCAACUUACCUGGUCAGCUAAUGGGAAACCUGACAUGUGUUGCUCAAAACAAUGCCAGCAGAAAACAAACUAUCACCCACCUUACAAGCUGCACAGCUCCUGUGUCAGAACCAGCUGUUUUGCAGAUGUGUUUGUCACCACAACAGAUGACAGUCAGCUGCUCCUCUGAAGGAGAUGAAUUUACAUGGUCAGCUGCUGGGAAAGCUGAUGUGUAUCGUCCAAAACAAUAUAAGCAGAGAACAAACCAUCAUCCACCUUAUAAGCUGCACAGGUAAUAUUUCUGACCACUGCAUUGUGACUGUGGCUGUGGUAGUAAGCGCUGUUGCCAUUCUACUCAUUCUGGCUGUGUUUCUUGGUAUCCGGAAAUUCAAAAACACAACUGGCAUUAUGACUGUUAAUGAAGAUGAAGCUGAAGAGGACGUUGUCUACUCAGAUAUUAGACUGAAGCAGCUUGCAAGAGAAUCAAGAGAAACACCACCUAUUUCAAAUCAAGAUGAAAGUUAACAUUCUCCUAAACAGUCUGACAUUCUGAAACCUAAACCCUAACAUGUUGACUUUCAGUCAACUGUCUAAUAAAACUAUGGCACUUUAGCAAUUCCAUCUUUGCAGUGAACGUGAAGGUAAACAUAUUUAACAAGUACUCACUGGAUUAUUAAUUUUGAAGGAAACAUAAAGGGGGGGAAAGUUAUUUAGAAGGCAUUUGAUAUACAUGAAAUACUUAUUUAUACUUAUUUAUAAAUGCUUUAUAUUUGAACUACAUUUUAUUUGACAUAAUUUAAAUAAACUACAUCAACCUUGUAAAGGUUCUAACCAACAUUUAACCUUGGAGAUUAAAUAAAAGGCUUUGAUCAGUGAUGGUGCUUUCCUUGUGUUGUGUUAAGCAGACGUGGGCUGUUCAUUUUGUUUGAGAUAAAAACAUCAGGGCUACUUUUUCCUGUGUUGUCAUGACAUUAAAACCACAAACUAUAUCCUGUUUUCACUGAGCUGCUAAACCUCUAAACCAUGUGACAUUACCUAAGCUUCACAGUUGUCAGUGAGAAAGGGGAAAAAACUGUAUAAUGCAUAAAACACUG